UUGAGGGCGAGGUCUGAACCCUCCAGACGGAGACGCUUGAGAUGGGAAGAGCCCACUUUGACUAAUUCAUUACGAAAAUAAUCGACAUCUUGCUCUUGCAAUUCACUUAACUCAAGGUCUUCAAUUCUCUGCAGUUGCACGAUCAGCGAAUCCUUCAAGCAAAUCUUGUUAUUUAGCUCGACUCUGAAUUGACGACACCAAAUGCCGGUUUUCCUCGAAAAAUAACGUCGAAUAUAUAUGCUGUACCUUUCCAGCUUCUCCAAGAGCAGGCCUCUGGGCAGACUGCUGACGUCACGGACGUGUACUUCCAAAGAGGUCAAGUUGGGCAAAUGCUUCAAUUCCUCAAGGCUUGCAUUCUUAACCCCUUCCACCUCCUCCUCCCAAUCAACAAAGCUUUCACGACCUAUAUAUAGUUCUUCUAAAUGUGAUAAUUUUGACAGUAUAUUUGGUGGAAUAACUUUCAGAAAACAACAAUCCCUCAAAUCAAGCAACUUUAGCCAAGUCAAUUCACCUACUUCUACUGGCAACUUCACAAUAUCAGAACCUCUUAAGCAAAGGAUUUCUAGUUUCUUCAAGUAUCCUACAAAACUUAUAUCAGGCAAGCCGCAGCUACACAAACUCAGUGUUCGAAGGUUUGACAGGAGACCAAGUGAUGAAGGCAGUAUCAUGUCAGUCAAGUUUACAACUCUGACCUCGAUCAUGCUCUUGAAAAAGUUGUCUGGAAUUGUUACUGGUGAAGUUUCCCAAGGAUCAUCACGACCACCACCACGUAUAAAAAGAAGUUCGAGUUGAGGACAUUCCAGUACUUCAGGAAGCAAAUUAGGCUUAAUACCAUGUAAGACGAUUGAAGUGAAAUGCUUUAUUGUACUUCCGUCUGACCAUUCCCUGCAACCAUCAACCUGCUCAUUUGUAGCAGUAAACACAUUUCGUUUAGUAGAUGCAAUUGAUAUGGCGACAUGGCGAACUACAUCAUGCAUAGAAAACAACUCUUCCUUCUCGCUUUCAUGGUCAAGCAACAUACAAGAAGCUUUGAGUGUGCGCACCAAUGCAUGUACUCGAUUUCGUGCUGCUUCCAUCUUAUUCACACCUUGAAAUAAACCCAAUCCCAUACCACACAUUAACAAGUCAUCAAUAGAUGCUAUGGCUGUAUAUCCUAUUAGCAAAAAGAUGUUCUUGAGAUCAUCCCUUCCUAGUUUAUUGUAGCUCAACUCGAUAGCUUUAUAUGCAGCUGGCUGUACAUCCUUAAAAUGGAACACAAGUGACCACAACAAGAUGGAACAAAAUAAAAAGGAAAAAAAUACAAAGAGUGGAUGGAGAAUAAAACAGAGACAGCGGCACAGCUGGACACAACUAGAUAGAGAACAGAGCAAAACCAAAUAACAAGACUUAAGAUUACAACAAACUGUGAAGAUAGCUCAUUAUGGAGAAAGAAGCAAUGGAAAGCAGAAGAAGGAAAAGCUUAAGUUGAAGCAGGAUACAGAGUAUAGUAGCAGCUCAGUUGCCAGCUCAGCAUAGUUAGUUUCAGUUCGUUAGAAGUGCAAAAUGUAUUGUGAUGAGUAUUAGCUAAUAACUUCCUUAAUUAGUUACAUUGAUUGUGAUUAACUAGAUGUUAGUAUAAAUACUCACGAAUUGUAUUACUCUGUAAUUAAGGAAAAUAACAAACUCUGCUCAAGAGUAUUUCAGAAUCCUUCGUUUAAUAUUUUCUCUAGAAACAAACAACUCUCUUUUAUAAUUCUUUUAUGGUAUCAGAGCCACUCAUGGCUAGUUCAAGCAAUACAAUCUUCAAUCCAAAUCAUAUUACUUCAAAUCAAUCAACUCAGAUAUCAUUUUCCUUUAGUUCUCCAGUCAAGCUAGAUAGAUCGAAUUUUAUGCUAUGGCGCAAGCAAGUUCUUACUUCGAUUAGAGGAAAUCGACUUGAGCAUCUAAUUUCUGAUAAUCAAGUGACACCAGAUCGUUACAUUACUCACACGGAAGUUGAUGGAUCUAUACAGAAAGUAGAAAAUCCAGCUUUUGUUCAUUGGAGAGCACAGGAUCAAACUCUUCUUGGCUGGAUCUUAUCCUCAAUUAGCGAAGGUAUUCUCAGCUCAAUUCUUAACUGUGAUAGUGCAUUUGAAGCUUGGAAAUGCAUUGAAAAACAAUUUGGAGUUCAAUCUGAAGCUAAGCUCAUGCAACUUCGUUAUGAACUAAAUAUUCUUAGGAAAGAAAAUAUGACUGUUGAGGAAUACUGCUUGAAGGUUAAAGCACUUGCUGAUAAACUCGCAUGUUCUGGAAGUCCUAUUUCUGAAAAAGAUCUACUGAUACAAAUCUUGAAUGGAUUAGGUCCAGGAUACUUAGAUCUUGCAUCAAUAAUUACUGCUAAUAAAAUGUCAUAUGAUGAUGCAUAUGCACUGCUAUUAACGCAUGAAGCUAGAAUGGAACAAAGUCAAAAUGCUAAGAGUGUGUUUAAUGCCAAUUAUGGCAUGAUGAAUGGGAAUUAUCCUCAAACUAAGGGCUAUAAUAGAAGAGGAGGUUAUAAUGGAUAUCAGGGACACUUCAAUGCUGGAAAUAGAAAUUUUGGUGCAGGAAGGGGAAUAAUGUUUACAAAUUCAAGAGGAUUUGUCAAUGGUGGUCAUGGUCCUGGUGCUUAUAAUUCUGGUAGGGGACAACUAAUGCACAUGCAGGCAUAUAGACCAACCACUUAUAAUAGAAACAUCUCUAAUGCUAACCUUGGUGCUGAAAAUGGAUCUGGAGAUAAUGUAUUAAUAUGUCAAAUUUGUCAUAAGUCUGGGCACACUGCAGAUGCUUGUUGGUAUAGGUUUGAGAAUUAUGUGCCUCCACCCAGAAACUUUGGAAGAGGGAGAGGUCAAAGGUCAGCAUAUAUGGCAAAUUUUGAAUCAUGUCCAAGUGCUGCUGGAUAUCCAAGUGCUGCUGGACCUUUUGAAACACAAUAUUAUCCAGACUACUCUAGUCAUCAGAUGUCUGAUUUGAAUUCAAUGAAUCACUCACUGGACUCUUUCUCUGCUCCUGGAGCUGCCUAUGUUGCUAACUAUGAAAGACCAGCUGAUGAGGGUUGGUAUUUAGACAGUGGAGCCACACAUCAUUUGACAAACAACAUGGCAAAUAUGCACAUCAGGGAGCAAUUCAGUGGAUCAGAUCAACUCAUUAUUGGCAAUGGACAAGGUCUGAAUAUAACUCAUAUUGGUGAUGCUUUUCUCAAUUUCAAAAGUUCAAAUGACAAACACAAACACACACCCAUAGCACUAAAAGACAUAUUGCUUGUUCCUUCAAUUACUAAGAACCUUUUGAGCAUUUCUAAACUUACUGCUGAUAAUAACCUGUCUGUUGAAUUUCUUGGAAAUAUCUGUGUUGUGAAGGAUACUCUGAAGGGGCAAAUACUGAUGCAGGGCCUUGCUGAGAGAGGAUUAUACAGGCUGUUAAUAAAUUCAUCUUCUUCAAAUACUCAGUCAUCUUCUUCUUUUCAUUCCCAUAUGUCUUCUAAUAAACCACUUUCAAUGUUGUCCUUUUAUCAUUCUGAUUCUGCUGGUCACACUGAUGUCGUUAGUGGAACUGCAAAUUUGAAAACUUGUUAUCAGACUGCUGUAUUACAUUAUACUAAAUCAAUCAAUAAAGCUUUACUUUUUCAUAGAAGAUUUGGUCAUCCUAGUGUUCAAGUGCUAUUACAUAUGCUCAAAAUUAACAAGUACAUUUCCAUUCCUACAUAUCAAAUUCAUCAAAUGCAUCAAACAACAUGUGAAGCAUGUCAAAAGGGCAAAGUUCAUAGGCUUCAUUUUCCCUGCACAGACACUAAAACUACCCAAGUUCUUGAGCUCAUACACACAGACUUAUGGGGACCCUCACCCACUCUAUCUAGGGAUGGAUAUCGAUAUUAUAUAAGCUUUGUUGAUGACUUCAGCAGAUAUACCUGGAUAUACCUUUUAAAAGUUAAGUCAGAUGCAUUAGAAGUUUUCAAACUCUUCAAGUUGCAAGUGGAAAAUCAGUUUACCACCACCAUUAAAACUCUGCAAUCUGACUGGGGAGGGGAGUAUAGAUCUUUUACAGAAUUUCUAAACCAAUCUGGUAUUAUCUUUAGGCAUUCAUGUCCUUAUACACAUCAUCAAAAUGGAUUGGUUGAGAGGAAACAUAGGCAUAUUGUAGAAUCAGGAUUAACUCUGCUGGCUCAAGCUCAUUUACCUUUUCAAUUCUGGUGGGAUGCCUUCCAUACAGCAGUUUACCUUAUCAACAGAUUGCCAUCACCUGUUCUGAAAUUUUCAAACCCAUAUGAAAAGAUUUUCAAGCAUAAGCCUAAUUAUGAUAUGCUCAGAUGCUUUGGCUGCACAUGUUACCCUUAUUUAAGAGAUUACAACAAACAUAAAUUUGCCUAUCACUCUAGCAAAUGUGUAUUCAUUGGGUAUAGUCCAUCACAUAAGGGUUAUAAGUGCUUACAUGCUUCAGGAAAAAUUUAUAUUGCCAGACAUGUUGUCUUUGAUGAGUUCACUUUUCCAUAUACCACAGACUCUUCUUUUCUUAAACAUUCAGCCUCUGAUUCUCAGUCUUCAUAUUCUAUUACUCCUCAACAAGUUCAUCAUCUUUCUACUUCACCUAUCCUACCAAUAUUUCUCAAUGACAACACUAAUAAUGCAAUCUCAGUGAGUUCAGAAAGCAUUGGUACAAGCACUUCAGUUCAUCCUACACAGCAAGAAGUUAAUCUAGAAUCACAGCAAGGUACGAUCAGUAACUCUUCACCUGUUCUUAUGUGUCCAUCCUCAGUUUAUGAACCUGUACCUAAUUCAUCACUUCCCCAUACUCACAACUCCCCUCAACAACAGUUCAAUAAUCCCAUUACACAUUCUCAUACACCUCAGAAUACACACCAAAUGAUAACUAGGGGAAAAGCUGGUAUCUUCAAACCCAAAGUGUAUAUUGCUGAUCUUGUUCACAAAGAACCAGACACUAUACAUGAAGCAUUAAAUGACUCAAAAUGGCUACAAGCCAUGAAGGAGGAGUUUGAUGCUUUAAUAAAAAAUGAUACAUGGACAUUGGUUCCAAGAGCAGCUAAUCAGCAAGUUGUUGAGAAUAAAUGGAUUUACAUAAUUAAGUACAAUACUGAUGGAAGUGUGGCUAAAUACAAGGCACGGCUAGUUGCUAAAGGAUUCCAACAAAUAGCAGGUGUAAACUAAUUUGAAACCUUCAGUCCUGUUAUUAAACCAGCAACUGUCAAAGUGGUAUUUGUUGAGUGUUAGAAAAUGUAUAUUUAUAAAGGAGAAAACCGUCAUUUUACAUUUCAAGUCUUACUAACAACCCUUACUUUUAUGUAUUUAACCUCCUUGUGAUUUAAUUACAUGUGUUUUAUUUUAAUUAAGUAUUUUAUGUAUUUUAGGGGCAUUAUAGUCAUUUCACAAUAAAGGAGAGAUCAGACGGCAAAACGGACAUCACUUUUGAACUCAGGACGAUCGAAAACCUUAGGAGGAGCAUAAAAGGAAAAAUGGCACUAUUCACAUGUACGGUACUAUUCACGUGUACGGUACUGUAUACGUUACUGUUCACGACACUGUUCACAUAGACGGACGAUGACGUGGCAUUGACCGAUGAUGUGGCAUUGACUGAUGAGGUGUCACGAUCCUGUUGGGCUAAAAUUCUUAUGUACUGUUGAUGCUGACGUGGCAGCAUAUCAGUGGAUGAAAAAUCUCGCGUACGGUACAUACAUCACACAGGAUUAUUUUCAAUCAAACCGCAUUACUGUUCAUCCGGGUCAAACCGUGUUACUGUUCAUCCGCGUGGUCAAACCGUGGACUGUUGACUGAUGACGUGGCGCAAUCCUGAGCGUUCAAACUGUUUUUAAUCCGAUGGCCAUGAUUUACUCCAUGUAUCUAUAAAAAGGGGGCCUCUCCCCCCUAAUUUGAUAUCUCUGAAUCCAUUUUUGGGAUCCAUUUUCUGUAAUUCCCUCUCCAUCUUGUAUUUUCUUCGUAUUUUAAUAAAUUCCCAUUUUGCCCCUAGUUCAAUUAUGAGUAGCUAAUUUCCUUUCAAGCUUGGGUUGAAGGUGAAGUCUCAACAUAUGCCAUGGGCUUAAUUUGGUAAAUUUAUUUUCUCUUCCCCUCUAGUUUUUGUGGAUGUUUUGACUUCUCGUCGACAAAUAAUACUAAUCUUAUCUAGUACCGCCUUGGUUUCACCGGCCCUCUAGUACAAGGUUAUUAUUAUUUGGCACGAUAAGCCCUUAGCACCAUAUUGAUUAGAGUGUGGUUCAUGAGGUGUGGAUUUCCCCCUCAUGAUUUAAUUGGUAUUAAUAAGGAAUAUUUAGCCCAUGGUGCAUGUUGAUACGGAUCCGGAUACCCAAGUGCUUCAUUUCAAUAGAUCUAUCUUCAAUUUAUUCUCGCCAUUACAAUUCCAAUUUUAGAAUUUAUUCUCGCCAUUUUAAUUUAAGUUUUAGCAUAUUCCAAAUCAUUUCCACCACAAAUCCAAUCCCCGAUUUACAAAAUUAAUUCUAUACACAAUUAAAAUCCACCUCCUCGUGGGAUCGACACUCGUCACCAUUAGUCUAUACUACAAUAGAUUUGUGCGCUUGCGAGUACAUUAAAAUUUGCACAACAAGUUUUUGGCGCCGUUGCCGGGGAGGUAAGUAAUUUUAAUUCAUAAAAUUAAUUUUUGUGAAUAAUUUCUUUUAUUUGUUUUCUUGUAUUUUUUAUUAAAAAAAAAAGUAAAUCUACAUUUAAAGGUUAGUAUUUCUUUUCUUUUUCUCUUCUUUAAAAUUCUGUAAUUUAAUUUUCAAUUUAUUUUUUCUUUGUAAUUUUUGUUUAUUUUAUUAAUUUAAUUUUUAGUUAAUUUAUUUCACGUAUUUGUUUUUGUGUAUUUUUAUAGAAAGGUUGUAAUAGCGCAAUAAGGUUAGUAUCGUAAUUUCUCCCUCUUCUUUAUUUUUAUUUGUUUUGUUCCCAUCUUUAUUUUUAUUUUAUUUGUUUUGCAUGCAUGGUCGUAGGUCAUUAUUACCUAAUCUUAAACCUAUAGACCUUGAAUUAGAAAAAACACUUCGCACACAAAAGCACAUUAAUAAAUUUGGAAUGGAUUUACAAGCACCACAGGAGAGGUCAUUCAAGGACUAUUUUAGUCCUUUAGCUAAUUUGAGCACAUCAUGUAUAAGAUACCCAAAUGUAGCUACUAGGAGUUUUGAAUUAAAACCUAGUGUGCUAAAUUGUCUCCCCACAUUUUAUGGCCUAGAAAAUGAGGACCCAUAUAAUCAUCUGAAUGAUUUUCAUGCCAUUUGUCAAACUUUUAAAUAUGAAAAUUUUUCAGACGAUGAUGUUAAACUUAGAUUAUUCCCAUUUUCUUUAAAGGAUAGAGCUCGUUCAUGGUUAAAUACUUUGCCUGCUAAUAGCAUUGCAUCAUGGGAACAAAUGGUAACUAAAUUUUUGAAUAAAUAUUUCCCAGUGCAUAAAACCAAUGCUAUUCGCAGGGAAAUCUCAGAGUUUACUCAGAGAGAGGACGAGCAGUUUUUCGAGACAUGGGAGCGAUUCAAUGGGCUACUCUUGAAGUGUCCACAUCAUGGGUACGAGAAAUGGCAUCAAUGCCAAUACUUUUUGGAGGGAUUAUUGCCGAAUGUGCAAGAAUGGCUAAUGGCAACAAGUGGAGGAGAGCUAAUAUCAAAAAGUGCAUCAGAGAUUUGGGAAUUCUUCCAGCGACAAGCGGAUAAUUCCCAACAACGGAGUCGAUCACUCAGGAAUACUAGAAGAAUUAAGGGAGUAAAUGAGGUUCAAAUUGGCGAGUCAACUUCGGGAAUCAAAGAAGUCAAGGAGAUGGUUGAAGGUCUUGCUCGACAAAUAGCAUCGUUGUCGACUGCUAAAUCAACAGAACCACAUGACCAUGACUCAUACUCCGAUCAAGCCAAUGCCAUAGGUGUAAUCAGAAAACCAUCGAAUUACAACCCAUACUCCAACACAUAUAACCCUGGAUGGAGAGACCAUCCCAAUUUUUCAUGGUCUCAAGGAUUCCAACAGAAUGGACCAGCAGCUCCAGCUCCGCCAAUUCCUCAAGUUCCUCAAGCCUCUCAGCCCCCAUUUAGACCAUACAAUCAGAACCAGAACUACUCUCAACCUAGACCAUGGGAGGAUUCAUUCCAGAAUCUCAAGAAUCUUACUCACUCUACGAUUGAGCAACAGAACCGCACCAUUGAUGGACUACGAAAUGAGUUGAGAGCGGGCUUCAACUCACAAGCCCAAUCAGUUUCAAGCCUCGAGAAGAUGGUGGGACAACUUGCUUCUUCAGUUCAGACCUUGGCAAUGACUGUUGAUAAAGGUAAAUUUCCAAGUCAACCAGUGCCUAAUCCUAAAGGAGUACAUGAAGCAAGUACUAGUUCACCACAGCAGCAUGGAGAGGUCAAAGCAAUCAUGACCUUGCGAAAAGGAAAGGAAGUCGACAACAAAGUGGAGAUGCCUGUGACAAAAGAAAAUCAAAUUGUACCUGUGAAUGUUGAAGACUCACCACCGGAGGAGAAAGAAGAAACCAACCCACGAGAAUACGUUCCGAAAGCUCCAUUUCCUCAGAGGUUAGCGAAAGGAAAGAAGGGAAAAUCCACAGGUGAGAUUCUUGAAAUCUUCAAACAGGUAAGUGUUAACAUCCCUUUGCUUGAUGCUAUUAAACAAGUUCCAUCUUAUGCCAAGUUUCUUAAAGACCUUUGUACUAAAAAGAGAAACAUGCAUGUUCAAAAGAAGGCAUUUUUAACAGAAAACGUUAAUUCUAUACUCCAACAUAAAAUUCCUUUAAAAUGCAAAGACCCAGGCUCCCCCACUAUCUCAUAUAGUAUAGGGAACCACACAAUUGAGAAUGCUUUGUUGGAUUUAGGAGCUAGUGUAAAUCUGUUGCCUUACUCAGUAUUUUUGAAACUUGGACUGGGAGAAUUACACCCAACUCCAGUGGUGUUACAGCUUGCAGAUCGGUCCACGAAAAUACCUCGUGGUAUUGUGGAGGACGUGCUUAUCCAGGUAGACAAGUUUUAUUUUCCUGUUGAUUUCAUUGUAAUUGACACUCAACCAAUACAGGAUUCAAGGAAGCACAUCCCCAUUAUCCUAGGCCGACCUUUCUUGGCAACUGCGGAUGCUCACAUUCAAUGCAGGACUGGAAAUAUGCAGUUGUCCUUCGGCAACAUGACUAUGGAGCUAAAUAUUUUCAACAUUGCCAAACAACCUCACAGUGCAGAUGAUGGAAUUGUUGAUGUGGAUUUAAUUGAAGCAUUAGUUGAUGACACUUUUAUUUCAAACCUUAGUGAUGAUCCUUUACAGACAUGCUUAACUCACUUUGGUUUUGAUUUUGAUAUUGACAGAUCGGUUGAUGAGGUCAACGCUCUACUUGACUCAACACCAUCCAUGGACACUAAUAAAUGGAAGUCAAGAGUUGAACAACUAGCACCAUCAGAAAAGAAACUCAUCCCAUCAUCAGAAUCACCACCGAAACUCGAGCUCAAACCAUUGCCCAACACUCUGGAAUAUGCAUUUUUGGGAGAAGAAAGUACUCUGCCGGUAAUCAUCUCAUCAUCCCUAAAUGACGAACAAAAAGGUAAGUUGUUGGAUGUUUUAAAAGAGCAUAAAGGAGCAUUAGGAUGGACCAUAGCAGACAUAAAAGGUAUAAACCCCGUAGACUGCAUGCAUUACAUUCACCUUGAUGAAAAUGCUAAAUCUACUAGGGAAAUGCAACGUCGGUUAAAUCCUAAUAUGAAAGAAGUUGUUAGAACUGAAGUCCUUAAGCUAUUAGACGCAGGUAUCAUUUACCCAAUUUCUGAUAGUUCAUGGGUCAGUCCUGUACAAGUUGUCCCCAAAAAGUCAGGAGUCACAGUAGUUACCAAUGCUGAUAAUGAAUUGAUACCAACUAGAGUAACUACAGGAUGGCUUGUAUGCAUUGAUUAUAGAAAGUUGAAUUCUGUCACACGUAAAGACCAUUUUCCUUUACCAUUUAUUGAUCAAAUGCUUGAUAGAUUAGCAGGCCAUGAAUUUUAUUGCUUUCUAGAUGGCUACUCAGGAUAUAAUCAGAUUCCCAUAGCACCAAAAGAUCAGGAGAAAACUACUUUCACUUGCCCUUUUGGCACUUUUGCAUAUAGGAGAAUGCCAUUUGGAUUAUGUAAUGCACCUGCUACAUUCCAACGAUGCAUGUUGAGCAUUUUUUCUGAUAUGGUUGAACGAUUCCUUGAAGUCUUUAUGGAUGAUUUUUCUGUCUUUGGUGACUCGUUUGAUCAAUGUUUACAUCAUCUAACACUAGUUCUGCAGAGAUGUAUUGAGAAGAACUUAGUCUUAAAUUGGGAGAAGUGCCAUUUUAUGGUAAAACAAGGUAUUGUUCUCGGUCACAUCAUUUCGAGCAAAGGUAUUGAGGUUGACAAAGCCAAGGUGGAUCUCAUUUCUAAUCUUCCUCCACCUAAAACAGUCAGAGAAGUAAGAUCUUUCCUUGGACAUGCUGGUUUCUAUAGACGUUUCAUUAAAGAUUUUAGCAAAGUUUCUAGACCCUUAUGCAAUUUACUUGCUAAGGAUGUACCUUUUAUCUUUAAUGAUUCAUGUCUCAUGGCGUUUGAAAAAUUAAAGCAGUUGUUGACAUCAUCACCCAUCAUUCAGGCCCCAAACUGGAGCUUACCAUUUGAGCUCAUGUGUGAUGCAUCUGAUUAUGCAGUAGGAGCAGUAUUAGGACAAAGAGUUGAUCGAAUUCCGCAUGUUAUUUACUAUGCUAGUAUGACAUUGAAUGAUGCACAGUUGAAUUAUUCAACUACUGAAAAAGAAAUGCUAGCAGUAGUGUUUGCAUUAGAGAAAUUUCGAUCUUAUCUCAUUGGUUGUAAAAUAAUUAUAUUCACAGAUCAUGCUGCUCUUAAAUAUCUUCUCACAAAGAAAGAUGCAAAAGCUAGACUAAUUCGUUGGGUGUUACUUUUGCAGGAAUUUGACUUGGAAUUCAAAGAUAAGAAAGGGACAGAAAAUGUUGUGGCGGACCAUCUCUCUCGUCUCCAUUUUGACACAAUUACAGAGCCAUUAAUAUUGAAUGAGUCAUUCCCAGAUGAACAAUUAAUGAAUGUGGAAGUAUUACCUUGGUAUGCUGAUAUAGUUAAUUAUCUUGUUACAGGUAAACUUCCAGAGCAUUGGACCAAGCAAGACAAGGCUAAAUUCUUUGCAGAAAUAAAGAAUUUCUUUUGGGAUGACCCGUAUUUGUUCAAGUAUUGUGCAGACCAAAUUGUUAGACGAUGUGUCCCAGAAAGUGAAAUUCAGAAUAUCCUUUCAUUCUGCCAUGAACAAGCUUGUGGAGGCCAUUUCAGUGCUAAGAAAACAACGACUAAAGUUUUAAAAUGUGGUUUCUAUUGGCCAACUAUAUUUCGAGAUGCUUACACUUUUUGUUCUUCAUGUGAUAGGUGUCAACGAAUGGGGAGUAUUACACGAAGGAACAUGAUGCCACUAAAUCCAAUUUUAGUGGUUGAGAUUUUUGACGUAUGGGGUAUCGACUUCAUGGGACCCUUUCCCCCUUCUUUUGGCCAUCAAUACAUAUUGGUUGGUGUUGACUACGUCUCAAAAUGGGUAGAAGCAAUUCCAUGUAGAACCAAUGAUCACAAGGUGGUGAUAGGAUUUUUGAAAAGCAACAUUGUUUCGCGCUUUGGAUUCCCUCGAGCAAUAAUCAGUGAUGGUGGUGCCCACUUUUGUAACAAAGCAUUCAAAGCUCUUUUGACAAAGUAUUCAAUCACACACAAAGUGGUGACCCCGUAUCAUCCGCAAACCAGUGGCCAAGUUGAGAUAUCCAAUCGAGAAAUAAAGCACAUAUUAGAAAAAACGGUGAGGCCAGACAGGAAAGAUUGGUCAUUAAGACUUGAUGAUGCAUUAUGGGCAUACAGAACGGCUUUCAAGACCCCGAUUGGGAUGUCACCCUACAGGCUAGUGUAUGGAAAAGCUUGCCACCUACCUGUGGAACUCGAGCAUCGUGCGUAUUGGGCCAUCAAGAAAUUCAACUUUGACAUGCAGCAAGUCAGCUCAGAAAGAAGAUUACAACUGGCAGAACUUGAAGAAAUUCGCAAUGACGCAUACGAAAAUGCCAAGAUUUACAAGCAACAGAUGAAAAUCUUUCAUGACAAGCAAAUUAUGAGAAAAUCGUUCACUCCAGGUCAGAAAGUGCUUUUAUUCAAUUCUCGUUUGCACCUAUUCCCAGGUAAGCUACGCUCUCGAUGGUCUGGUCCCUUUAUUGUUCAUACUGUUUUUCCACAUGGGGCAAUUGAAAUUAAGGACCCAAAGAACGGUGUCACGUUUAAAGUUAAUGGUCAAAGAUUAAAGCCAUAUCUAGAGUACCAACCACAUGGAGAAGACACCGAAAUAAAUUUGAGUGACCCACCAGAUUUGAAUUGAUUUUUUCUUUUUAUUGAUUUGAUUUUUCUUUCUUUCUUUUUAUUGUUCUUUUGCUAAUUGAAAUUAUUUUUGCAUAAGUGUGUUUGUUUUACCAUUAAGUUUUUUUUUCUUAUCAUUGUUAAUCAUGAGUACCAUACUUAGACCGUUCCUCCUGAACAUUCUUAAACCACUUCAGCGUGUCAAAACUCAUCUCAAAAAGCAGAUUCAAUUUUGUAAAACACAACGCAUUUGGGCUUUACAACCACCAGAGUUAGUAGCCUAUGUUGAGGGUUUAGAACGCCAACUCAGAGACAUUGAGAGAAGUGUUUACGACAUCCAAUUGGAGCUUGAGGUAAAUUCAAUAAGAGGACGAUUUUAAUUUUCUUUGUGUGUUUUAAUUUGUUUUUCUGUUUGUGUGCUUUAGUUUGUUACCCCGGUGAAGUGGCGGAUAACGGUACUCUGUGACAAUCAAGUCGGUUACUUCAGUUUCCCAUAAUAACUGACAUUCUGAGGCAAAAGUAUGGACAGAAACGAGAUUCUAGCGAAGCUUCACAAGCGAUUCCCUUCACUUCCUCAGAAUGCCCUCCUUAUGAUCUAUAAAGCUCGGUCCGAACGCAUGCGAUUGCUCAUGAGGAAUAACAUACCUGCUGAUAUCCGUUGGUUAAUCGAGGCGAAAGUACGAUCGGCAGGUGAGUUACCUCCAAAAUUUAUUGCAUACAUGUCUGGUUGUGGUAAAGGAAAUUAUGCAAGAAAACGACGAGCUCGACGAAUUUCUGUUGCUUGUCAUAAGUGUGCCAGAAUGAGUUGCAAUAAAAACCCAUGUUCUUUAGGAAUGAUGUCUGAUAACAGGGAAGACAAGAUUCAAUUCAUUAGGGAUGGCUUGAAUAAGGAGUCAUUGGAUGAUAUCCUUUUGUCUCUUGAAACGCAUCCCAGUGGAUAUGUGCAAGGAGCGAUUCUCCAGUUAUGGCUAUUAUUCCAGAAAGAGCAUGCACGAUACAGUCUCGGGAAUCUGACUAUAAACGACCAUGUUUGCCAGUUUGUAAGAAAACUGGAUAGGAAGCCUAUCCUCGACUCAUAGAGGGCGUUCAAGCCGUUUCUGGACGUAAAACCAGAGGAAGAUGUGAGCCACAGUCGCAACUACGUGUAAAUAUCCUUUUACUUUACUGUACUUUUUCCUCCUUACUGUUUGCUUUUUUCCUUAUUACUAUUUGCUUUUUCCUUUUUACUGUUUCCUUUUUGACUCGCGAUCCACGUGCUUUACGCAUUAUUUGACACUGACAUGUUACCUCAUACACCACUAUGACCCACUAUCACCAAGACUCUUAAAUGUGAUUUCUUUUUUGUCAAGCACUCACAAAUUGUUUUUGAGAAGUAUCACAAUGGCCGCUACUCCCAAUAGACAAUUCAAGAACAUUUGUGUGCUUUCUGGAUUUACCUAUGGCAAACAUAAAGAGUUCGUGGAGGCAGCCAUAGAUCUUGGUCGAAGCAUAGCAGCGAGAAAAUUACACUUGGUGUAUGGAGGAGGUAACCGAGGGUUAUAAAAAAUGGUCUCAGAAGCAGCUUUUAUCAGAGGAAGUCAAGUGUUAGGCAUCAUCCCAAGAGUCCUAAAACCAUUGGGCAGUUCGUCUGACUCAUCAACUGGAGAAGAGUUAGUUGUCUCAGGUAUGCAAGAAAGAAUAACUGAAAUGCUUAAUCAUGCUGAUGCUUUUAUUUUCCUUCCAGGAGAUCUUGCAACACUAGAGGCACUUAUCACACUAGCAUCCUGGGCCCAUCUGCACAUCCACCAGAAACUCAUCGGUUUGUUAAAUGUCAAUAACUUUUAUGAUGGCUUUAUCGCAUUUCUUAACCAUGCAAUAAAAAACUACUUCAUUCCUUCCCAUGCGAAAAAACUUUUUAUUUGUGCUCACACUGCUAAUGAGCUACUUGAUCUGUUACAAGCUUAUAGACCGGAGCCAGACCCCUGGACCUUUGUGUUGGAGCGCCCAAAUAAUGAUGGUAACAGUAGCCGCAGUAAGAAGUACAAAUUAGAUUUAACUCUCCGCUUGUGAAUAUUUUCUUUUGUGUUGCACCACCCAGGUGAUGUCUUCUAAACUCUACUUCUUUCCUUUAAAACAUUGAGGACAAUGUUUCGUUCUGGUUGGGGGGAGGGAAUAGUCGACAAUUGUGGAAUCUUGGUUAAGUUUUUACUGAUUUUUUUUGUUGUAGAAACUAACUAUUGCUAACUUUUUGUGUUGAAGAAGGCUGAAUAUGGAGUGUAGUGACUCUAGAAACGCAUCUUCUUCACAGAGAUCAACGAUGCGUACUGUCUUCUAACAGAGGAUGGAGAGCCUCCAACUUUUCAUGAAGCUUUAAACAGUUCAGAUGUUGCUUUGUGGAAGACAGCAAUGCAGGAAGAAAUUGAAGCUCUAUACAAGAACAAGACAUGGGAACUUGUACCACUACCACACGGAAGAAAAUCCAUUGGAAACAAAUGGGUCUACAAGAUCAAACGUGAUGGUAAUGAUCAAGUGGAGCGGUAUCGUGCAAGACUGGUGGUGAAAGGAUAUGCUCAGAAAGAAGGUAUUGACUUCAACGAGAUAUUUUCUCCGGUGGUUCGACUCACAACAGUCAGAAUAGUCUUGGCAAUGUGUGCUACAUUUGACCUACAUCUAGAGCAGUUAGAUGUUAAAACUGCAUUUCUUCAUGGAGAACUUGAAGAAGAAAUUUAUAUGCUCCAACCAGAAGGUUUUGCAGAAACAGGAAAAGAGAACUUGGUUUGCAGGUUGAACAAAUCUCUAUACGGUCUCAAACAGGCACCGAUGUGUUGGUAUAAGAGAUUUGAUUCCUUCAUUAUGAGCCUUGGAUACAACAGACUCAGUUCAGACCAUUGUGCAUAUUACAAGAGGUUUAAAGAUAAUGAUUUCAUCAUUUUGCUGUUGUAUGUGGAUGACAUGUUGGUAGCAGGUCCCAACAAAGAUCGAAUCCAAGAAUUGAAGGCACAAUUGGCUAGGGAGUUUGAAAUGAAGGACUUGGGACCAGCAAACAAGAUUCUAGGGAUGCAAAUUCACCGAGACAUAAAUAACAGGAAGAUUUGGCUUUCGUAGAAGAAUUAUUUGAAGAAAAUCUUGCGGCGCUUCAACAUGCAAGAUUGUAAGUCAAUUUCUACCCCACUUCCUGUUAAUUUCAAAUUAUCCUCAAGUAUGUGUCCUAGCAAUGAAGCAGAGAGGAAGGAGAUGUCUCGAGUACCGUAUGCAUCAGCAGUGGGAAGUUUGAUAUUCGCUAUGAUAUGUACAAGACCGGACAUUGCACAAGCAGUGGGAGCAGUCAGUCGAUACAUGGUGAAUCCUGGUGGAGAGCAUUGGAUAGCUGUGAAGAUGAUUCUGAGAUACAUCAGAGGAACCUCAGAUGUUGCAUUAUGUUAUGGAGGAUCAGAGUUUACUGUCAGGGGCUAUGUGGAUUCAGAUUUUACAGGAGACCUUGAUAAAAGGAAAUCCACUACUGGUUAUGUGUUUACACUUGCGGGAGCAGCUGUAAGCUGGGUUUCGAAACUGCAGACAGUUGUGGCUUUAUCUACAACAGAAGCAUAGUACAUGGCAGCUACACAAGCUUGCAAGGAAGCUAUUUGGAUACAAAGAUUAUUGGAGGAGCUCGGGCACAAACAACAGAAAAUUCUUGUGUUUUGUGACAGUCAGAGUGCCUUGCACAUUGCAAGGAAUCCAGCCUUUCAUUCCAGGACAAAGCACAUAGGAGUUCAGUAUCAUUUCGUUCGAGAAGUAGUGGAAGAUGGAAGUGUGGAUUUACAGAAAAUCCAUACGAAGGAGAACCUAGCAGAUGUUUUGACCAAGCCGAUAAAUACUGAUAAGUUUGUCUGGAGUAGAUCAUCUUGUGGCCUAGCAGAAACGUAGGCAACAUGAUUAUGGCGAAGCAGAAAGGACGGUGUGGAGAUUGAUUGUUUUUCAAUCUAAUCUCCAAGUGGGAGAAAUGUUGAAUAUGGGGCACCACUCUUCUAGAAAUGUUGAAAAUGGGCCCUCUUCUAGAAAUGUUGAAAAUGGGCCGAAAUGCUUGAAGAGGAAAAUGGAAAAAGAAAUGUUUGAAGAAGAAAAUGAGGAACACGGUUUUGACUUUCUUGGCCAUCAUUUUGCUAUAAAUAGAAGUGCAAAUGAAGAGCUUAAGUAUUCCAUUCUGAGAGUAAUUUAGCAGUUGAGAGAGAGUUUAGAGAGCUUGAAUUUAUAAGCUCUUGUUAUAGUGAUUUUGAGAGUUUGGGUGUAUUGGAGUUUUGGGAAGUGAGCUAAAAUACUACAAUACUUGUAACUCCUUUUCACUAGUAAAAUAUUUCCUUCUGUCUUCGCCCGUGGAUGUAGGCUAAAAGCCGAACCACGUAAUUUCUGGUGUCCUCUAGUGUGCUUGUUCUUUAUUUUCUUCCAAUUUUAUUUUAUCUGCGUGUAUGCUUCACCCACCAAUUUCCUAGCAGUGGUAUCAGAGCUAUUGGUUGUAUUUUUUGGAGUCAGGAACUAUUCACGUAAUGGGUACUAUUCACGUAUAUGGCACUAUACACGUACACGAUACUAUUCACGUAUACGGUACUGUUCACGUAUACGGUACUAUUCACGUGAAACGGUGGAAGCGAUCCAAGAAUUUUGCGGUGCAAAGCAGGGAAUAGUGGUGUGAGUAAAGCAACUGUGUGGUUUUGUACAUGUCUAGGAAAGUUCUGUCACAAAGGCGAUAAGAGCUUAAGGAGUCUGGGUUUUAAGUGGGACCAUUGUGACCCCUCAAGUCUUUCCUGGGAACUUUCCUGGUGUGCAUUCUCACACAUACUCACAACUAUUCAAGGUGGUAUACUAGCUUGUGUGCAGUAUUUAUCAACAAAAUAGCGGCAAAGUAUGAAAUUGAGAAAUUUAACGGAAAUAAUUUUUCGUUGUGGAAAAUGAAGAUGAAAGCUGUAUUGAGGAAAAAUAAUUGCUUGGCAGCAAUUGGAGAAAGGCCCAUGGAGAUAACUGAUGACAAGUGGAACGAGAUAGAUGGCAACGCCAUUUCUGAUAUACACUUGGCACUUGCAGAUGGAGUAUUAUCUAGUGUGGCAGAGAAAAACACAGCGAAGGAAAUAUGGGAUACUCUUACAAAAUUGUACGAGGCCAAAUCACUACACAACAAAAUCUUCUUGAAGAGAAAACUCUAUACUCUUCGAAUGGUGGAAUCUACAAUGGUGACCGACCACAUCAACACCUUGAAGACUCUAUUUUCACAACUCACAACGUUGGGUCAUAAUAUAGAGGAAAAUGAACGUGCAGAGCUUCUACUUCAAAGUCUACCAGAUUCAUAUGAUCAACUCAUUAUCAACCUGACGAACAACAAUCCAGUGGACAGUCUAGUUUUCGACGAUGUUGCAGCCUCCAUAUUAAAUGAGGAAAGCAGGCGGAAAAAUAAGGAAAACAGACAAGCAAGUUCGCAGCAAGCGGAGGCGCUAUCAGUGACGAGAGGGAGAUCAACGGAACGUGGCCCCAGUGGGAGUCAAAAUCAUGGUAGAUCAAAAUCCAGAAGUAAGAAGAAUGUUAAAUGCUACAACUGUGGCAAGAAAGGGCACGUAAAAAUGGAGUGUUGAAGUAACCAGAAGAGAAGAGAGGGUAAAGAACCUGAGUCAUCAAAUGCUCAGGGGUGUGUAGCAAGUACCUCAGAUGAUGGCGAAAUACUCUACAGCGAGGCAACAACUGUUUCAGAAGGCAGAAAAUGACUUUCUGAUGUCUGGCUUAUAGACUCAUGAGCUACCUGGCACAUGACCUCUAGGAGAGAAUGGUUCCACACAUAUGAACCUAUCUCAGGAGGAUCUGUAUAUAUGGGUAACGAUCAUGCAUUGGAGAUCGCUGGUAUUGGUACUAUCAAAAUAAAAAUGUUUGAUGGUACAAUUCGCACAAUUGGGGAGGUACGACAUGUCAACGGCCUGAAGAAAAAUCUAUUGUCUUUGGGACAAAUAGACAAUCAUGGGUGCAAAACUCAUGUGGAGAAUGGAAUUAUGAAGAUCGUUAAAGGAGCACUUGUAUUGAUGAAGGCAGAAAAGAUCGGUGCUAAUCUAUUCAUGCUUAAAGGAGAAACACUACAGGAGGCUGAUACGUGUGUCGCAUCAAAUGGAGAAGAGUCAACGAUGAUGUGGCAUCUCAAACUUGGCCACAUGUCAGAACAAGGUUUGAAGAUUCUCUCUGAGAGAAAAUUGCUUCCGGGGCUCAAAUCGGUAAGUUUACCAUUUUGCGAGCAUUGUGUUACAAGUAAGCAGCAUAGAUUAAAAUUCAGUAGAUCUAUUGCUAGAAGUAAAUGCAUUCUAGACUUGAUUCAUUCUGAUGUUUGGGAAUCACCGGAUAUAUCCAUGGGAGGUGCAAAGUACAUGGUGACUUUCAUUGAUGAUUAUUCCAGAAGAUGUUGGGUAUAUCAAAUUAAGAAAAAGUCAGAUGUAUUUCUAGUGUUUAAAGAAUACAAAGCGCGGUUGGAACUUGAAUCUGGUAAAAAGAUCAAGUGCUUGAGGACGGAUAAUGGUGGAGAGUAUACAGAUGGCGAGUUUCUUGCUUUCUGUAAGCAAAAAGGUAUUCAGAGGCAGUUCACGGUGGCAUACACUCUUCAACAAAACGGAGUGGCGGAGCGGAUGAACAGAACUCUUACAGAAAGAAUAAGAGCUAUGUUGAGGACUGCUGGUCUACCCAAUUCAUUCUGGGAAGAAGCAGCCAAAACUGCCUGUUAUAUAGUAAAUCGAUCGCCAUCUACAGCUAUUGGGCUGAAGACAGCGAUGGAGAUGUGGACUAGAAAGCUAGCUGAUUAUUCUUACCUACAUGCAUUUGGAUGUCCUGUGUACAUAAUGUACAAUGCCCAAGAAAGAACAAAGCUGGAUCCAAAAUCUAGAAGAUGUAUCUUCUUGGGGUAUGCUGAUGGAGUAAAGGGGUAUCGUCUGUGGGACCCCACUGCCCACAAGAUCGUCAUCAGCAGAGAUGCUAUCUUUGUAAAAGAUCAACUGCAAAGGAGAGAUGAGGAUGAUGGCACUACAAAAGAAAAGUCAGAGACUGUUCCAGUAUAUGUGGAAAAUAAUCUAGAAGAUUCAGAUUCUUCUGAAGUAGCACCAGAGCACGAGGAACAAGAACCAGUCGACUCCGAGACUCCAGAAGUUUGUCGGUCAACUCGUGAGAGACGACCGCCAACGUGGCACUCAGAGUAUGUCACAGAGAUCAACGUUGCGUACUGUCUUCUAACAGAGGAUGGAGAGCCUCCAACUUUUCAUGAAGCUUUAAACAGUUCAGAUGUUGCUUUGUGGAAGACAACAAUGCAGGAAGAAAUUGAAGCUCUAUACAAGAACAAGACAUGGGAACUUGUACCACUACCACACGGAAGAAAAUCCAUUGGAAACAAAUGGGUCUACAAGAUCAAACGUGAUGGUAAUGAUCAAGUGGAGCGGUAUCGUGCAAGACUGGUGGUGAAAGGAUAUGCUCAGAAAGAAGGUAUUGACUUCAACGAGAUAUUUUCUCCGGUGGUUCGACUCACAACAGUCAGAAUAAUCUUGGCAAUGUGUGCUACAUUUGACCUACAUCUAGAGCAGUUAGAUGUUAAAACUGCAUUUCUUCAUGGAGAACUUGAAGAAGAAAUUUAUAUGCUCCAACCAGAAGGUUUUGCAGAAACAGGAAAAGAGAACUUGGUUUGCAGGUUGAACAAAUCUCUAUACGGUCUCAAACAGGCACCGAUGUGUUGGUAUAAGAGAUUUGAUUCCUUCAUUAUGAGCCUUGGAUACAACAGACUCAGUUCAGACCAUUGUGCAUAUUACAAGAGGUUUAAAGAUAAUGAUUUCAUCAUUUUGCUGUUGUAUGUGGAUGACAUGUUGGUAGCAGGUCCCAACAAAGAUCGAAUCCAAGAAUUGAAGGCACAAUUGGCUAGGGAGUUUGAAAUGAAGGACUUGGGACCAGCAAACAAGAUUCUAGGGAUGCAAAUUCACCGAGACAUAAAUAACAGGAAGAUUUGGCUUUCGUAGAAGAAUUAUUUGAAGAAAAUCUUGCGGCGCUUCAACAUGCAAGAUUGUAAGUCAAUUUCUACCCCACUUCCUGUUAAUUUCAAAUUAUCCUCAAGUAUGUGUCCUAGCAAUGAAGCAGAGAGGAAGGAGAUGUCUCGAGUACCGUAUGCAUCAGCAGUGGGAAGUUUGAUAUUCGCUAUGAUAUGUACAAGACCGGACAUUGCACAAGCAGUGGGAGCAGUCAGUCGAUACAUGGUGAAUCCUGGUGGAGAGCAUUGGAUAGCUGUGAAGAUGAUUCUGAGAUACAUCAGAGGAACCUCAGAUGUUGCAUUAUGUUAUGGAGGAUCAGAGUUUACUGUCAGGGACUAUGUGGAUUCAGAUUUUACAGGAGACCUUGAUAAAAGGAAAUCCACUACUGGUUAUGUGUUUACACUUGCGGGAGCAGCUGUAAGCUGGGUUUCGAAACUGCAGACAGUUGUGGCUUUAUCUACAACAGAAGCAUAGUACAUGGCAGCUACACAAGCUUGCAAGGAAGCUAUUUGGAUACAAAGAUUAUUGGAGGAGCUCGGGCACAAACAACAGAAAAUUCUUGUGUUUUGUGACAGUCAGAGUGCCUUGCACAUUGCAAGGAAUCCAGCCUUUCAUUCCAGGACAAAGCACAUAGGAGUUCAGUAUCAUUUCGUUCGAGAAGUAGUGGAAGAUGGAAGUGUGGAUUUACAGAAAAUCCAUACGAAGGAGAAUCUAGCAGAUGUUUUGACCAAGCCGAUAAAUACUGAUAAGUUUGUCUGGAGUAGAUCAUCUUGUGGCCUAGCAGAAACGUAGGCAACAUGAUUAUGGCGAAGCAGAAAGGACGGUGUGGAGAUUGAUUGUUUUUCAAUCUAAUCUCCAAGUGGGAGAAAUGUUGAAUAUGGGGCACCACUCUUCUAGAAAUGUUGAAAAUGGGCCCUCUUCUAGAAAUGUUGAAAAUGGGCCGAAAUGCUUGAAGAGGAAAAUGGAAAAAGAAAUGUUUGAAGAAGAAAAUGAGGAACACGGUUUUGACUUUCUUAGCCAUCAUUUUGCUAUAAAUAGAAGUGCAAAUGAAGAGCUUAAGUAUUCCAUUCUGAGAGUAAUUUAGCAGUUGAGAGAGAGUUUAGAGAGCUUGAAUUUAUAAGCUCUUGUUAUAGUGAUUUUGAGAGUUUGGGUGUAUUGGAGUUUUGGGAAGUGAGCUAAAAUACUACAAUACUUGUAACUCCUUUUCACUAGUAAAAUAUUUCCUUCUGUCUUCGCCCGUGGAUGUAGGCUAAAAGCCGAACCACGUAAUUUCUGGUGUCCUCUAGUGUGCUUGUUCUUUAUUUUCUUCCAAUUUUAUUUUAUCUGCGUGUCUGCUUCACCCACCAAUUUCCUAGCAUUAACUAAAUAUUUUUUAACCAUAUAUGUAUAGUUGGAUUAAAUAGUGGAGAUUACAACAAAACAUAUGCGAAUUAGUUGUGAUGUUGAGUUCAGAAGAUUGAAGUUAAAAAAAUUAAAGGUUUCUUGAUCAAGGGAAAUUUCAAAAGAGUGAAGCGUCUUCUAGAUCAAGACGAAAAUAAGGAAAGGGUAAGGGUGUAUUUUCAAAGUGAUUCUAUUGAAAGAUCUUUGAAGAUUACUUUCGUUAAGAGCAGGAUCCCACACUCUUGAGCCUUUGUCGUCCCAGUCAACUAUAAAGACACAUUAUUAUUGAGUAUGAACAUUGCGACUUAUAGAUCACCAAAUUUUCAAACUUAUGAUCUUCGUUGAAUCUGCAAUCCCUUUUGAAAAAAAAAAAAAAAAAAAAGGAAAACUGCAAAUAAUGAAACAAAAUUCUGUUCCUUGAUAGAGUUACGCGGCUUCAACUUGCAAGUGCUGUCGGCAUUUUCAAACUUGUAAGACCCUUCAACUUGCUUUCCAAGAUAGCUAUAAUCAAUAAUGACAACCGAAGACGGCUACGUUUGCGGUACAAAAGUUGCACCAUAUUAGACGUUCUUUUUAGGGAUGGCAAUGGGGCGGGGUGGGGGUGGGGAUGCCUACCCCAUUCCCCACCCCAUUAAAAUUUUUUGCCUCCAUUCCCCACCCCAUUCCCCAAUAAAUUUAGUGGGUUGGGGAUGGGGAAUCCCCACGUGGGGAAUGAUUCCCCCAUCCCCACCCCAUUCCCCAUUUACAUAUUUUAUAGUAAAUAUAAAAAUAUGAUUUCAGUAAAUUAAAAAUUAGAGACUUAAGAUAAAAUCAUCACAAUAUUAUAAAGUAUUUAAUUUUAAAAAAAAAUCUCUAAAAAUUUGAAACAAUAUCUUAAAAUGAUAUUAAAAGUGAAAAAUAUUUAAAGAAAGCAGCACCUUAAAAGAGAAAAGAAAAUAUAUUAAUGUUUUAAAGUUGAAAAAUAUUGUAGAAUUUUCUUUUAUUCAUAUUCUAUUUAUAUUACAUAAAAAUUAAAAAAAAAUUAUUAAUUGACAUUAUAGUUGAUAAAAUACAAAUUAUUAAAUAAGAAUUAAAAACAUAUUUAUAUAUAAUGGGGAUUGGGGUGGGGGUGGGGUGGGGAGUGCAAUACCAAACCCCACCCCGUUAACAAUUUGGGGAUUACUUUUCUCCCACUCCCCACCCCAUUCCCCAAAAAUUAUUAAAAAAUUUCCCCAUUUGGGGUGGGGCUCCAUGGGGCCCCAACCCGUGGAGGAUUUUGCCAUCCCUAGUUCUUUUUUGUUCUUAUCCGAAGUAACCGUUGGAUUCAAAGGAAAGUGAUCAGACAUUCAAUAGCUUCACACGUGGACAUUAUAGGAUACCGGUCAAAUCGGUUAGUGCUCCUCCACAUCAAACUCACAAGCAUGGCUAUCAUCGUAUCAGCUUGGAAACUUGUUACAAGUGACGAAGAGCAACAGGGUCCGCUCCUCUAGAGUCGGUUAGUGCUCAAUAAUGUUACAGGUUUUAUAAUCUAUGUAACUGGUACGAUCGCUGUCUCAAGUGGUAAACUUUUGAGGCACAAAUUUAGAACGAAAAGUUUCCAAUAAAAUAAGUUAUUUAAUUAAUUAAAUAAGAAUAAAAUGAAUUUGUAAAAAAAUUUUAAAUUUAAUUUUGAAUUAUUUUGACCAAAAUUUAAGUUUUUUUUUUUAAUUUGUUUAAGAAAAUGUGUUGUAAUUGUCUUGUUUUAAUUGGAAAAUCAAUGAAAAAAUUAUGUAAAAAAAAAAAAAAGCAAAACGCUUUGUUUUGGAUGGAGGCCAUAGAUUCCAAUAUUUCCUUAACGAAAACUACAAAAAAAUUAUCAAAGGCAUCAAUUUCUACACUCUCACCGAGCAAUACUCUUAUGCUGUGUUUACUUGCUGGAGUGGGAGUGAGGAGUGUGGAUUCCUCCCACUCCAGCGUUUACUUACUCAAAAUGGGGAGGGAUUAGGAAUCUCACUCCGUGGGCCCCAUCCAUUUUUGAAGUGGGGAGUGGGAGUGGGACUCCGAUUGGGGGAGGUGGGAGUGGGAAUCCACCCCCACCUCUCCCAUUUCUACCCUUUUUUUUAAUUUUAUGUUUUAUAAUUAAUAAAAUAAAAUAAAUAAUAUUAUAUUUAUUUGAAUAAUAUUAUUAUAUUUAUUUGAAUAAUAAUAUUAUAUUUAACUAAAUAAUAAUUUACAUUGAUUCUAAGUUAAAAUUAUUUUAAAAUAAUAUUAUUAUAUUAAUAGAGAAUUAAUAAAUAUAAUAUUAUUAUAUUUAUUUUAAAAAUAAUAGUACUAUAUUUAUUUAAUAUUAAUAAUAAUAAAUAGUUUAUUCUAAGAAAAUAUUAAUUUUGUACUAAAUAAUAUUAUUUUAUUAUUUUAUAUAAUAAUAAAUUUAAUAUAAUUAUAUUAAAUAAAAUAAAAUAACAUUUCAUUUUAUAUUAAAAUUAAAAUUAAUAAUUUAUUGUUCAUAAUUAAGAAUAUUAAUAAUUAUAAUAAAUUUACAAAUAUAAUAAAAUAAAUAUUAUUCAUUAAAUAUAUUUUUUAUUAGUUUUGUAAUUAAAAACUAUAAUUCUUUAAAUAAGGAUAAAAUUGUAAUUUGAAACUAUUUACUCCCAAUCCAAGACAAAGUAAACACAUAAAUUGAAUUCUGAUCUCCAUUCCAUACUUCUAUUCAAGUGUAAGUAAACAACCUACUCUCACUCCCACUCCACACUCUCAAUCCUAGGAUUCCCACUCCUCAGGAUUCCCAAUCCAAUCCAAAAAAUAAACGCUACCUUAACCCAGAAGGAAGUGUAUAAACCAACCCCAAUCAGUCCAUCAAUGUCGUCAACCUCAUACAGCAUAAAAAAAAUAUGUGUCCAUUAAACCGCCAUUUUUUUUUUUUGGUUAAACCACGAGGUAUCCUGGUAGGGCCCCAACUGUGGGAGGCACCUUUAAGCCCGUACCACAACCCAGACUAUAGCUCCCCGCUCGCACGUUGUGGCUAGUGCUCCCAACAAAUGCGACUUCUCUGCGACUCGAACUGGGGAGCAAACCCAGUCAAACCACUUAAGGGGGCUCCAGUUGCCAGAGGAGCCAACACUUUGUUGGUAUUAAACCGCCAUUUAAACUGACUUUAUUGAGUCAUUAGACUAUUGGUGUCAUCUUCCCAUCUCGUUGUAGCAUUUUACCGUUCAAAUCUAGUUAUCAAUUGUGGAAAAUGGGGACCAAUCUGCAAGUCUUUAAAAUAGAAAGAAACUUUAAUUGGGCACUAUGUUCACGGUAGUGGACACAGCAGCAGCUAUUUGUGCUUUAAAAAUUAUUUUACACUCUAAUUUUAAUAAAAAUAUAUAUUACAAAAUUACUUAUCAUAUAAGUUACUGGAUAAUAUAUUAUAAGUCAACAUUAUAUAAUUACUUUGAACACUUAUAUAGCCCAAUCCUAAUUCAAUUUAUUAUUCUCAUAACUUAAAUAUAAGUCAACAAUAUAAGGGGGUUGUGACAUGGGUUUAAACAUGAUUUAACAAGUGCCACCUGUGAAUUGUCAGAGAUUGUAUUUUCAUACACAUGUCAAAUUUUCAAGUCCAACAAAUUGUUAUCUUUCUAAAGAGGCUAAUAUUAUUAUUAUCUAUGCAUAGCAUGCUAUAAACAAUUCAUAUUCUGUACACAACAUAUGGACAGAGGAACAAAUCCCUGAGCUAAAAUCAUCAUAUUCUAAAAUAUUCUAUUAAAUCAACACCACAAAACGCGAACGCUAAACAGAAUUGGAGCAAUUUACCAAAGCUAUUUGUCACGCAAAGCACUAGUACCUCAGAACCCAAUUUGCAAAAAAGCACCAAAAAUGAAAAAUAACAAAUGCCCAGAUGAAAAAUCAGGAAAAAAAAAAAUGCUCAAAUCCAAAUUACAACCCCAUAAGCUGAGUUGUUCUCUUCGAACUGAAUUAAAAAAAAAUUAAAUAGGGAGAUUGACCUCAAACUUUGGAAACAGAAGCGACAGCGAUCUGUUUCUUGUCUGGAGUGUCCAUUUCUAUAAUCUACUUUGUCCGCUUUCAGUCGCUCUGCCACAGAGCUUCUUCCCUCUGAAGCUGAAGCUCACACACACUUGCAAAACGAAAGCAUUUUUUAUUGAUUGAGAGGCGGGAAGGCGGGAAAAUGAGAGAAAUUUGCAUUUGUUUUCUCUUGGUUUGGUCAUACCUGUGCGGGCCCCAGCUUGACAAGCGGUAUUAUUAUUAUUUGUAUAAUUUACAUGACGCGUGUCACGCAAUGACGAUAAAAAAUAUAUAUAUAUAUUGUUAAUUUUUCACUUAACAUUGAAAUAUCAUAUAAUUUUUCCAAUUUUAUGGUUAUUUUCUCGCCCUUAUGCCACAUUCUUUUGAUCAAAUAAUACAGUAAAACUUUUCUAUAAUCAUAAUAUUAAAGCCAAAUUAGCUUUAUUUAUGUAAAGAGGCUAUAGCUUAAUAAAGGUAAAAUUAUAAAAAUUAUUAUUUUGACUCAGUUAUCUUUAGUGUAAGUGAUAUAAAGUAUAAAUAUAUGAUAAUUAAUUAAUGAACUAUGUCAAAUACAAUAUGCUGACAAUGAUAAAAAAGAUAGACAUAAUUUCAAGAAACUAAUACAUAUAUUUAUGUAGUGCUGGGAUUAUACAAAAUCAUCUUAAAAGUGUAAAGUAUUAUUCUGAUUAAUUUAAAAUAAUUAUUAUUGGAUUCAAAUCAUGUCCUAGGCAUUUUUUCUUCUAGUUGGAGCUUCCAUUUGUUCUAGAGAUUCAAAGGCAGCAAGCUGCUUCCCCAGUGCUACUAAUUCUUCCCCGGCAUUGCAUGUGUAGCCUGAGGCUUGUCUACCAGACAAAGUUGCUCCUUCCAUACUAUCUAUGUAAUCCUGUGAGAGUGAAACCAUUUAGAAGACAUAUCUCUUUUUUUCCAAUAUUUGGAAUGAAACAAUUAUAUACAGUUACCUGUUUUGUAUAUGAGCUGGCGAGGAAGAAGUUCUUCACUGGUAUCUUUUGAUCAGGUCUGAAGGGGUCUUUACCAGGUCCCUCACCUCACAAAGAUUGCCGGAUUUUGACGACAGAUAACCAAAUAACUUCUAAACCUUGGGAUGAUGGAAAUAGAGCUAAAACCUAAUAAAAGGAACCGUGAAUGGAUAGUAUGGAUUCAUGUAUAUUAUCCAGAAAGUUGCAUGACCUUUUGUGGUACUCAGGUCACUAAAAAACGUGAGAUAAACAUCUAGGAUAAGAAAAGCAAAAAAGCAUAACCUAAUACGUAUUAUAUGAAUUGAAGGUGUCACUGAACACUACUAACCUGCUUUGCCACUCUCCUUAUGAUUUCAUCAUUUGAUAAGGGCAUAUAAGGAUCUCCAGGCGUCAAAACGCAUCUGAAAGAUAAUAUGGUUAUAGGAAGCAAGAUGGAAUACAAAGACACUUGGCAAAAGGAAGUCAAUCAGAUUCCAUGCACAAAAAAUAACUAAUAAUGACGAGGAUAAGAAAUGUUUCUUACUGGAGAAAUGAACCUUGCCCUUCUCUGUAGUAGUAUUCUGGUGAAGUGAGUGCUAGAUCUGCAAAGCAAGGGAAAUCUGCAUCUGGAGUAUAUAAAAGGUUAUCUAGCCCCACAGCUUGCUUCUAUUGCCUACAUGUUCAAUACAAGGAUCCGUUAAAAAAUGGAAAUUUCUUCAAUGCAUUAGUAAAGGGGAGUGAAGUGAAAGCUGAUUUCUUAGGCCUUCACAGAGCAUCUUGUGUUUGACAGCAAGCACUAAAGAAUAAACUCAAAGUCAGUGCUUCUAACAGAUGAUAUAAACAACAAAUUUACAAAUAUCAGGUCAUUGCAUUAGCUCCAUGCCUCCAUCAGAGCGAACAUUAAUAGAUGCGUAAAAAAAAAAUAAGAGCCAUAUGUGAAACAAUUUACCUUAGACAUGGCAAGUCCUUUGACAAAUGUUUCCCCGUUAGCAAAUUUAUCAUAAUGCAUCUCUCUGCAUCCCCACCUAAGAUGGAACCUGUUCUCACAAGAACAGACUCCAAGGUUGGGAAAAUCAAUUGAUCAUCGGAGAAAACAAACAGGAUUAACAAAUCACUACAAUGGUGUGAACCCGUAAAUACAAAUGUACCUGCCCCCUUUAUUUGCGAUAUAUUUUCUUAUUGGCCCAAUCAAAUAAACAUCCGGAGAACCCUUGAGCAUCUGUAAUAGGGAAGCCUCGGUCUUAGUCGCAAACAGUGCAAAUAUAGUAUGCAUACAACGAGCAAUGAUGUUAUCACAAUCAAUAAACCCAAGGGCAAACGCAACAGAAUCUUACAUUCUUUGGAUACUCAUCCAUGUACCACCCUUGGACAAAAACCAAUCAGAGAAGCUUAUCUGUAAGAAGAAAUGAAGUUUUAGGUAAAAUAAAAAUUUGUAGGAACAGGGAUUGAAAUUCAACAAACAAGAGCAAUAGCAUUUCUUGAUUUAUCAUAAGUCUGCACUUGAAAUUCAAGAAGUGCCUUUACAACAGGACUCAGCGCAAGAGCAAUAGCAUUUCUUGAUUUAUCAUAAGUCUGCACUUGAGCAAUAUACGAGGCAAAGUACAUCAAAAGAGAAUCCAAAAGAGGCAAGAAGCUUCAACAUGAAAAAAGGAGUACUGCCUCGUCAUACUGCUUUGCAAUCACAGUGCAAAAGAUAACAUCAACAAAAUCAAAAUCGAGCAUAAAUCCGUAUGCACUACCUUAAGCUGAUUUGUAGACAAAAAUGCAUGAAUCCCAUGUAAUGGAGCUCUAAUCGGAAACCGGAAAUCAAGUUCUGGAGUUGAAAAUCAAAAUCAUGAAUCAAAUCAGAGUUGUUAUUGAAUUAGACAAUCCAUAAACCAAUAGAAGGUGAUGUCAAACCAUCAAGCAUAACUAUUAGUUGUUUUAAGUGAUCAAGAAAUAACUAUACCACCAAUUUCACCACCCUUAUUUACAAAUUUAUGAGUAUGAUCCUUCAUGAGUAAAUUUUCGUCCGCACCGACCUGUCGACAUCCAUGAAAAACUAUCAGAUCAUAAACACAGGUUCCAGUUAAAGAGGAUCUAUGAUUCUGAUCCAUCAUGUUAUUUGAACAACAUAUUCGGAUUUUCUUACAACCCUAAGCUUUUAUCAGUUAUCAUCGCUACAAAUGAUAUGGUCAAGAGGAAUGAUAGUUCUUGUUUCAAGAAUCUCAAAUCGUAAUUCUUUUGCAUGGCUUCUGUGCUUUUAUAAUCAUUCAAACACGCAUAUCCACAACUAAGCAAGCUUUACCUUUUUUGUCAAUCGGAACAGAUUAUUGUAGCAUCCAAAGAAAACGUGCAGGCUGAUUUCAAUAUGGUUUCCACGUUUACAGACAAAUGAAGCCACUUUACCACCAAUAAAAGACCUCAACUCAUAUAUAUCCACCUGGAAGAAAGGAAAAGUUUAAAAAAAAGGAAUAAAAAUUCUUCUAAUUUCUUUCACCAUCAACAAAAUCAGAAAAACACAUACUAAUUCAAAAUGAAAUAAAGUUUGUGAAUUGAAAUAAUGCCAACUCCUAAGAAAAAUUAUGACUGCUGAUAUUUUUUCCGAAAUGCUGAUAAAAGCUUCUGCUAUUUACUUCGAAAAAAUUGAGGUUAGAAGCCUAUUUACUUGAAAUUUUGAGUUUAGGCAAGAGGAUGAAUGGUAAAAGUGAAACAUUUUAGGGAAAAAUGUACGUCAGAGGCCAAUGAAAGCAUUCAGAAGAUUGAAAUCUAAAUGAGCAAAACCCCGUGGCCUUGAUCCAACAAAUCCACUGCUGUUGACAUGCCUGCAAGCCCAGCUCCAAUAAUAGCCACUCUCAGCUUUGGUCCUCUAUAAUGUUCCGGUUCUGGUAGAAACAAACCCUUGGGAGCUGCCAAGUAUACCAUCCAAUUAUCCACAGCGAUAAUGGAAAUAUAUAUGUGUUUAAAGGUACUAAAUUCCUAAACAUGAAAUGUAUCCAAAGAGAGACACAAAGCAGAAUUGUGAAAGCAUUUCAAUUCCCAAUAAAUUUUAAGAAUACAAAAUACUCGGUCUGUUCCUCAAUUCCUUUAAUAAAAUUUCCACUAGAGGCUACGGAAGCCACUCAAUAACACUCCAAAGCCAGAUUUUAAACGUUAUCUUUAUCUUUAACUCCAAUCCAUAAACAAUUCUGCCACAAAUUCAAUCCAAAAUUGUUCAAGUGCACCGCCAAUUCUCCGUCAAUUCCCUCAAAAAUUCAUAAUUGGCAAACACUACAAACCCAAAAGAGCUUCCAGCAAUAAACGCAUAAAAAUCCACCAAGCAACAGAAAACAAAAUACCCAGAAACCAGAAAAGCCAAAAGAUCAAUGCUUGGCAAACAAGCAAAUCAAAUAAAACAAAAAGAAGAGAAAUUUACCAUUAACGCUCAUAUCAGAAACAUUAGCGUCCAAAGAAGCCCGUACACGGAAUCUUGGACCCUUCACUUGAACCCGAGACCAUGUAACGCCAGUAACUGAAGUUGCAGGAAACAGAACUGAAGAACCCAUAUUGCAAAUCCUGAGCUGAAAUCAAAGAAAUUCAAUUGGAACUCAAUUCAGCUCAACCGAGCGGCGCUCUCUUUUGCUUCAAUAACAAAGUAUUUUUCUUUCAUAUCAACAAAGAUUUGUCAACAUCAACAAAAUUUAACUAAGAAACUAAAAUAAUGAGGUAUCUUUGAGUUUAAGAAUCUAACAAGAUGCUAAGGAAGAGAGUUUUGUCAGGGAACUGUUUCGGAGAGGUUGGCCAAGUGGUUCUUUGUUUUUUUCUUCUUUUUUGGCCCUUUUCAUUAAUACACAACAGUAGUACUCGUGAAGAGCACAAAAUGUUGGUGACUUUGUCACUAACGAUACCAAAGUGGAGUGACCAGAGCAACCAACUAAAUUUUAAAGAGAGGGAGUGAUAAGUAAUAUUUUCUUUGGGUGAUUAAUUAAUUUAUUAUCAAAUAAUUUUAUUUAUUUAAUUAAACGACAUCCUUAUCUUUGUACAAGGCUGAUGAAAGACGACGAUGUUGUGUUGUCACAUAUUUUUGGGCCGACCGUUUCUUGUUUCGGCUUAAAUGAGGCUUUUGUAAUUUUGUGCUGUUUUUUAACUGAGUAUUUUGUGCUAAAUUACGCCAAAGAAAAAGUGUAAUUGUUAAAAGAUCUGCUGACACUCAUAACCUCUUAAGCGGAAUUUAUAAUGUGACAGUAUUGAUAUCUAAGUUCAUAAUAUCUAUGGGAGUGAUAAAACGAAUAAAUGAAUCGAAUCGUAAAUGAAUUUAGUUAAAAUUUAAUGGAUUUGAAUUCGAUGUGUUAUCAAGCGAAUCAUAAUUUUAAGAUUCAAACUCAAUUCAUUUAUUUAAUGGAUAUCUAUUUAAUUCGUUUAUUGUAAAAACUUAAACAAAUUGAGUUGAAUUUGGAUUCGUUUACAAUUUGUUUAAUUCAUUUAUGCAAAAUUAAUAAUAAAUCAAUCAAAUGUGGAUUUGUUUAAAAAAUAAUAAUAAUUAAUAAAAAAAAUAAAGUAAAAUAAAAUAUAAAAAAUCAUAAAAUUAACAACCUACAAAAUACAAACAAAUUAGUGACCCCAAACUCGGAUUCGAUUCAUUUAUUUAAUGAAUUGAAUUGAAUUCACUUAUUUGUUAAUGAAUUAUUUUUUUAAAAUUCAGACCUAUUUAAUUUGAAUCUAAUAAACAAAUCCUAACCUAAAUUGCCAUCUCUAAAUAUGAUGGACCUACUUAAAAUAUAUGAAUACCAAAAUGUGUGGGCUAAAAAGUGGUUUACCAUGCAGCAAUAAGAAUUUUAAGCUCUCUUUUCUUAUGUCACCCAAGGCAUUGGCUGGAUGGCCAAACAGCAGAGUUCAAGUCUACAAUAGAGAAUCGAAAUUUUCCUUUGUAAAUGUUCGUAAGUAUUUAGCAUAGAUUUUUAAGUUAUUCUUGAUAGAUCCCCUACCACAUACGCUAUAAUAUUUCUCUUCUUUUAAUUUAAAAGUAAAUCAUGCAUAAUAACGGGUUUGUAAAGAAAUGAAAUUUCUGGUAAUUAACUGUCAAAAAAAAAGGAUGGAUUAAGCGAAAGAAGUUAAUAUAGAGUUAAGUCGAGUACUUGACAAUAGGGGUGUUCGCGGAUCGGAUUUUACAGAUUAGACAUCAAUCUAUAUCUGAUCCAUAAUUUUACGGAUUAUAAUUUUUCAAUCCAAUCCAAUCCACAGAUUGAUAUAAUUCAAUUCAAAUCCAAUCCAUACAUCUGCAGAUCGGAUGCGAAUUUGACUCAAUCCAUAUCCAAUCCAUAAGUCUGCGGAUCGGAUGCGGAUUUGACUCAAUCCAUAUCCAAUCCACCAUUUUGCGCAUUAGUUUUCGAAUUAAAAAUUUUUAGUUCUCUCCAACUAAUGAAAUAAAAAAAAAAUCUAAUAUAAAAAUAAUUUUGCUACCAAUUAAAUUUAAAAUUGAAUAAAAUUUAAAUAAAUUAAUUGUUUAAAUAAAGCUAAAAAAAUACAUUUAAAAUUUUAAAAUAUAACACAUCGAGACUAAUUAUUCAAAUAAAGCUACAAUAAUACGUUCAAAGUUUCAAAAUAUAAUACACCAAGCUUAAUUGUUCAAAUAAAGUUACAAUAAUACGUUAAUAUAACACCGAAAUUAAUUAUUGAAAUAAAGCCACAAUUAAUUGAAAUGACGAAGCUUCGGAAACCAAACACAGUCUAAUCCUUUACCAGGGCUGUUGCGCUUGUCGAAAAGUGGUGAUUACGGAGCCGUCCACGAUGGGAACUAGGAGAAGUCGUCGAGUGGCAAUCUUGAAGGUUGUGAUAAUGAAAUUGUUCAGCUGGAACCAGUGAAUGUGAAGUGGCUCGGUGGACUUGGGAAAGAAGAUGGCUUGCUCUCGCUGUAAUCGCGCGGCCGAUGUCCUUCAAAUCCGUGUCGAGAGUGUAUCCAACCAGUAUUGAAUGUUGCUAGUGUGUGUCAUGGCGGGGAAGCUUAGGGUUUUUUGUUUGCAAAUUAUUUGUGACUUAGCGUCAUGUUACUUUACUUUUGGGUGACUUUGCAAAUUGUUGGUGAUUUGGCGUUAUGUUACUUUGCUUUUGCUAAUGUGUGUGACUUUGCUUUUAUUUUGUUUUACAAUGUCUACAAGUUAUAUUUGUAUAUUUGAUUAUUUAAUUAUUUUUUAUUUUAUAUUAUUAUUGGGUAAUGGCUAAGAUAUGUUAUAGUGUUUAUGUAACUAUGUAAUGUCACAUUUAUAAUUUUUUUAAUUAAAUUUAUAAUAAUUUUUUAAUUAUAUAUAAAUAUAUAUAAUUAAAAAAUUAUUAUAAAUAUAUAUAAUAUUAUUAGAAACUAUUAACAACGGCACAAAAUGCCUGUGAUAAUGAAACAAUGUGCCAUCCUUAAACUAAUAUUAUUAGAAACUAUAAGUGAAAGUUUUCAGAAAACACGCACGUGAUAAGUUUUCUCCUUUGUUUUGAUUUACGCGAGAGAUAGUUGUAAAGCGUAAAAUUUUAAAAUCCGUAACAAAACAAAAACUUACAUGGGUUGGGCGCACCAUGUGCAUACCAAAUUAGAAUAAUUGACGAAUCGUAAUAAAAAAUUUAUAUAUAAGAAUUGAAUGAGAUCCAUGGUUCACAAUUGCAAAUUAAAGGUUGGUUUUAUAAUAAAAAUCUUUUUGUGCAUACCAAAUUAGAAAAGAUUAUAAGUAAAUUAAGAUUUUCAAAAUUUGACUAGUAUUAUAUUACGUUCAUCAAUAAAAUAUAAAUUUGUUAUAUAUAUAUUUUAUUCUGUAACCAAUGCUUUCAAAAACUUUAUACUUAUAUGUUUGAACAACUUUUUUCGUUUUCUAUUUAUAUACGAUAUCAUUUAUGUUUACAUAAAUUUUCAUAUGUACCCAAAUUAAGCAUUAAAUACACACACUUUGGUAAGACACAUUAAUUUCUAGUAUCAGACAAUGAUAUUAUAUUGAAUGUAAUGCUUCAAUGAAUUUUAUUACUAUAUACUAAAAUACUCAACGAUCUCCAUUAAAAAAAGAAAAGAAAUUGCAUGAUUAGAAUGAUUAAAGAUCAUUUGAUGAGGAGUUUCAUCAUUAACUGUGUCGAAACACAGCAGCAAUCCACAAUACACUUAACAGGAGAGGGGCACACAAGCAUGCAUGAAUCUUCCACCAUUAAACCUGAAAUCAUAAAAUAAAAGAAACAAGAUGAGUGUUGUUUUACGGUCUGAAAGCCGAUUCCAAUUAAUAAUAAUAAUAGUAAUAGUAAUAAACCUUUGUUAAUAAUUACUACUAGUUGUCUCUGCCUUUUGCAUCUUCCUCCUUUGUAUCAUCGUCCUCUUCCAAUCACACGGCUAGACCAGUAUGUCUCGAGAAUCUUUACUGCCUUCUCAGAGAUCCCGUUGACGUCACGACUUCGUAGAUUUUCAAUCUUUUCUAAUCCCUCAGCCUCCUCAACCAACUGGGCAUAUUGAUUAAAAUCUCCAACGGCGGUACCCGUAUUCAUUUCAGCUACCCCGACCUUCAAAAUGUUCUCUAAUCCUUCUAAGCAAACAGUGACGAUCUUUGGAUCAGCACAUUGAAGGAGACCACACAAUGGUUUUAUACACCCCGUUCUCACGAGGUACUUGAUUUGAUCAUGAGUGCCACGCGAGCUGGCAUUCGAAAUUGCCCAAGCAGCCUCCUUCUUUGUAUCAAAUUCAGCAUUUUGAAGUAGAUUGACAAUGGGACCAAUUAAGCCGGAAUCAAUUACCGCCUGAAUCUGCUCCCUGUUUCCAGCUGUAAUAUUUGAAAUAAUCCAGCUAAUCUUCUUCUUGAUGAUCUCUUCAUGAUUAUGGACUAAAAUGUCCAAAAAGUAUGGCAGUGCACCACAGUUAAUUAUAUACUGAGUCUGGAAAUCAUCUCCCGUCACAAUAUUUCCAACAGUCCCCAGGGCAGGGGCAAGCACUGAGGAUGAUGAGUGACCAAGGAGCUCAACAAGUCGUGGACAGACACCUGCCUCGAUCACAGCUUGAAUUUUGUCAUUCGUACCAUCAGCAAGAUACGCGAGUGUCCAACAGGCAUAUGUCAAGACCUCUUCAUCGUUUGAACGAAUAAGCUGUGCAAGCGCCGGGAGAGCUGGCCUUACCUGAUCAAAUGGUGGCUGUGGCAUGCCCCUGCAUAAAUUAGACAAUGUCCAUGUGGCAGUUCUCAGCAUUGAAAGCUUAGUGUGGUCCUUUAAUUGCUCCAGCACUGGAAUCAAAGCUUCUUCGCGAAGCACAAGAUUACGGCAUCCAAGUGAGUCACCACCAAUAUUUCCCAUUGCCCAAACAGCCUGCUCGCGGACAUCCUCACUUGGAGAAGCAAGUAGUUUCACAAAUAUUGGAACAGCACCGUCGUCAAUCACCACCUUAGUGUUCUCUGAAGUUCCAGAAGCAAUGUUUGUAAGAGCCCAAGCAGCCUGAAAAUGAAGUUGCGGAUAGUCUACCCUCAUAAGAAACUCAACAAAGCGCGGGACAACGCCAGAUUGUAUGACUUCAUCAAUUUGUGGACUCCUCUCAAUCGAAAGUAGAUUUCGGAACCAAGUAGUUGCUUCCAGCUGCAAGCCGCUGUCAUCUGACCAAACCCCAGCAACCAUCCUGUGAAAACUCGCGUACUUGUUUUAGGAGCAGGAGCAGGAGGAGGAAAUUAAGUUAGGGAUUUGGAGUGAGAGUGAAGGUGGAGAAAAAGCAAGAGAGGGAAAAAGUUGAUUGUUGAGAAAUAUAUACCUUUCGUAUGGUUGUGUUAAGGUCGUCCUUCCAAUCCCAACAUGCUUCACCCCGCCGCUCCACUUUGUGUAAUUUGGGUGUACUUAAUUUUCCUUCAGAGAAAAUCUUCAUAUCGGGGCAAUCAUCCACCACUAAUCUUUCCAAAGAUGGGAAAUUGAAAGCACAAUUGCCAGAGCAGAAGCUUGUCAGACUUUCUAAGAGUAAAAGCUUCAACUCCUUCAAUUCUCUGAAAGUAAUAACCUCAUCUUGUGCUACAACAUCAUCCCCCAGUACUAUUUCUUUUAUCUUAUCGCAUGAUGCUAUCUCCAUAUAUCUAAGUCUCACCAGAGUCUUUGCAACUGAGGAUGUUAUUACGAUUUUCAAGUUGUUGCAACGCGAUACCACCAGAUUUGUAAGAUUCUGAAAGGAUGUCGACGAUGGCACUAGAUUGACCAAACGGUCACACCCCUUUACACGUAGAAUAACCAAGUUGUUCGUAACAGAGGACUCCUCUAUCAAAAUGUGCUCCAGUUGAUAUUUUGCUUCUAUUAUUUCUACCCUCAUCCCAUUUUCAACCUUCUCUUCCGGCAACCAAGCAUCAAGUCCUCCUAUUUGGAGGAGUUUCAUUGUGUGAAGUCUCUGGAGGAAGUCACCAAGCGAUAAAAUAGUCCGCUCAUCAUCCAACUCCACAAAAAUAUAUUUUAGUUUGCAAAGCAAGUCUUCAGAAAAUAGAUAUUUAUUUGUUACUACGUGCUUUGCAUCAACUUUCAACUCUUCCAAAUUAGGGAAUACCUGGGAGAUUGAUCAGAGCCCAAAAAAAAAAAAAUACAAGAUGAAUCAAUUGAUGAGAAUUAUAAGUUACCACUAAUUUAUAAAAUAUAUUUUAUAAAUUAGAAUAAUUAUGAAUGAAUACUAUACACUAAUCUAGAAUAAUUAUGAAUGAAUACUAUACACUAAUCUGUAAGAGAGUUACGUUGCUAACAAUUUGACUUUUAGUAAGAAACCAAGCGAUAAAGGCAAAGGCAAUAUAACUCUAAACUCUAUGAUAUAAACUCUCACAGAAUAAGAAUUGAAAAAUUGAUUAUAAAAUUCUUGUACGUACCCUUUCCGUGAAGAUACUAGUAGUUCUUUUGUAUCUCGCCAUGAAUUCAGGACAUGCAGAUAUCCAUAAUUCUUUCAAGGAUGGAAAUUCAAGAAUAUCAAGAUCUCCAGUGCAGAAGCUUGUGAUCUUUUCAAGAUCAGACAUCUCCAGAUAUUGCAACAGAGGAAACAUUACAAUAUUAUUCUUCCUUUCUUCUUGGUUGUCCACGACUAUUAACUCUUCCAGGACAGGACAUUUACUUAUCUCAAUGCUUUGGAGUCGAACAAAGCUACUAACAGUAGAAGAUGAAAAUAGACAUCUUAAAUUCAUACAUCCGUGUAGGAUCAAGCGUGUUAAAUUCUGAUUACCACAAGACAUGACUGUAACUGGGCUCAGCCGAAUCCUCCCAACAUUUAUUGAAUCCAACGUCAACUUCUCUAACUCUGGUAACCGAACCUGCUCGAACAAAAAAUUAACUUGUUAAUUGCAAGUAAACGAUCAUUGAUUAUAAAAUUCUUGUACGUACCCUUUCCGUGAAGAUACUAGUAGUUCUUUUGUAUCUCGCCAUGAAUUCAGGACAUGCAUAUAUCCAUAAUUCUUUCAAGGAUGGAAAUUCAAGAAUAUCAAGAUCUCCAGUGCAGAAGCUUGUGAUCUUUUCAAGAUCAGACAUCCCCAGAUAUUGCAACUGAGGAAACAUUACAAUAUUUUUCUUCCUUUCUUCUUGGUUGUCCAAGACUAUUAACUCUUCCAGGACAGGACAUUUACUUAUCUCAAUGCUUUGGAGUCGAACAAAGCUACUAACAGUAGAAGAUGAAAAUAGACAUCUUAAAUUCAUACAUCCGUGCAGGUCCAAGUGUGUUAAAUUCUGAAUACCACAAGACAUGACUGUAACUUGGCUCGGCCAAAUCCUCUCAACAUUUAUUGACACCAACUCCAACUUCUCUAACUCUGGUAAUGCAACCUGCACGAUCAAAAAAUUAACUUGUUAAUUACAAGCAACAAUGAUUUCUGUUGAUGGACAAAUCAAUAAAAUUACUCUUUCUCUGGUUAUAGUUCUUUUCAGUUUUUCAUACAAACAACCGUUAAUCAAGUUUUCCAAAUUAUUCCUUACUAAAUGUAUAGAUUUAGACGGCGGCUAAUAUAAUUCAUAUUGCAAAUAUUUUUUGAUUGUAACGAAUUUUGUAAUAUUAAAUUUUGGUUGAUUAACAAUAGGACCUACUGUCCAGCGCGAGCAGUUCUCGGGAUUUAACUACUGGCACCUCGAUUAUAUAAAAAUUUGGAAUAUUUUCAAAGGAAAUCACAUAAUUCCCCCUUGCAAAUAGUAAUUUCAUUAAUUGCCGCGGGUUCACAUAUAAUUCUAAGAAAUUAGGCGAGAAGAGUCUCAUCAACAAUCAAUCAGCAGAUAUCACGUUUGGCAGAUCAUCAUGAUUUCCUCAGAUGCUAGAGAAUCAAAGUGAUUUCCGCUCAUGCAGGAGUGGACACAUUAUCUUAGAGCAUACCUCACUGAGAUCUUUUAAAAAAUUUAUAUUAUAAAGUGAACAACAUAUUUAGUAUAGAUUUAGACGGCGGCUAAUAUAAGUUAUAUGUAUUCUAAUGACGUAUAUUAAAGAAAAUGACUAACCAUAAUUUCAAUCAACUUAUUAGUCUAUAUAUAUAUAUAUAAUAUAUAUUCAGCGAUUACAACAUAUUUAGUAUUCCAUAACAUGAUGUUUAUAAUAAUAAUUAUUAUUAAUUCACUUAUUGUGUCAGAGUACCUUUUCUUUCUCUAAGAAUGUAUUUGUUACACCCCACUAUACUUCGGAUGAAAAAUUUAGAAUAAUUGUGAAAUAUAAUUAUUAAUCACUCUUUGCCAUAUUUGUUACCAAACAGGAAUAUAACAAAGAAAAAAAACAAAAAUUAUAGAGAAUUAAUAAGACGAUUGACUUAUUAAUAACUGACCUUCUCAGGGAAAAGCGUAUUAGAAAUUUGGACAUUGUCCUCCAAAAUGAUUUCAUGUGACUGCAAAUCAUUAGCUGAUUCCUCUUGUCUCUGUUGACAUUGCAGGUGUCUUGAUUUAAGAGUGUAAACUUAAUUGUGAACACAAUCUUAAUUAAUGCACUUGUCUCUGUUUUACAUUGCAGAUGUCUUGAUUUUAGAGCGUAAACUUAAUUGUGAGCACAAUCUUAAUGCAUAGAUAUAAAAUCUUUAAAAAUGAGUACAAUCAACUUAGCACUAAAUCCAAAUUUGAUAUUUUGGAUUCCAUGAUUAAGAUUUUUUAAAUAAAAAUUUAAUAGAGUUAAUUUAAAAAUAAAAAUUAAAUGUGAAAAAUAAACUUGCAAUUAUGGAUUUAAUUUUGAUAAAUAAUGAGGUUCCGCCUAUGUUGCAACAGUUGCAACAUACCACUUCUUUUGUCAUUUUGUAAUUUAGCCAUUGGAUCCAAGACAAGAAUGGUAAAAGCAAAUCUAACGGCAGAGUGUAUUUAUUUAGGUUAUUUUCAUUGUAAUCCCUCUUGUUUUCUGAAAUGUCAGGAAAAAACAUAAUUAUUAUUUUUUUAUUUAUUGGCUUAGUUGUUAAAUGAUAUGAAUAAGAAGUAGGAAAUUUAAGAGGACUUUUAUUAUUGAUAUUAUGUAAUUACAAUGCAUGAUUCAAUACUAGUUUAUAAGAGUCACAACUUGUUAAAUAUAAAAUAAAGUUUAUGUUUGCAUCCUAACUUCAAAAAGAUAAAUACGUUUAUUUAUUCCACAAAUUAAUAAAUAUUUCAUAUUUUUUUAAUUAUUACUAUCAUUUCUAGAUCUACUCUCAUUAUGUAAAUUUAUUAAAAAUUAUAUUUAAUUAUUAUUUUAUAUUAAUUAUUAAUAUAUAAAUAUAAUAUGAUAUAAUAAAAUAAUAUUAUAAUAUAAUUUAUUUUUAAUAUUUUAAUUAUUAUAGUAAAAAUAAAAAUAUAAUAAAAAUAUAUUUUUAAUAUUUCAAUUAAGAAAAAUUUUAGCACAUUGUAGUGAAUUAUAUAAUUGACCACAAUCUAACUUUUAAAACUUCCAAACAUAGGUAAGUAAUAAAUUAAUGUGAACAAUAUUAUAACAAUAUACAAUACUGUGUUCUAAACACAUUCUAAUGGUGCGUUUAUUAAAUAAGAAUCGAAAUGAGCUAGAAUCAUAAUAAGGAAUCGGAAUGAACAACAUUCCCAUUGAUGUGUUUACUUUUUUUUAUAAUUGGAAUAAACUAUUAUAAGUUAUUAAAAUGCCCUUUGAUAAUUGUGUCCCUAAUAUUAUUUGUAUCUAUUAUAAUUAAAACAAUAAUAAUAAUAAUAAAACUAAAAAUAAUAAUUAUGAAAAUAAUGUUAAUUAAAACAAAAAAUUAAUAAAAUUUAACAACAAUAAUAAUAACAACAACAACAAAAUUAACUGAAAUAAUAAUAUUAAUAAUGAUAAUAAUAAUUAUUAUUAAUAAGUUUUAAUAAUAAUAUUAUUAAUAAAAAUAAUAACAACAUUAAUUAAUAAUAAUGAAAAUAAAAAAGUUAAUAUAUUUUAAUAAUAACAUUAAUUUUAAUCAUAACAAGAUAAAUAUUAAUAAUAAUGAAUUAAUUACAGUAUAAUAGCAAUUAAAAUAAUAAAAGUAAUAAAUUUUAAUAAUAAUAAUAAUGACAAUAAUAAUCAUAAAUAAUAAUAAUUAAAAUAAUAAAAUUUAAUAGCAAUAUAACUCUUAAGCUUUAUGAUUUAAACUUUCACAGUACAUACAUAAGAAUUGAAAAAAUGAUUAUAAAAUUCUUGUACGUACCCUUUCCGUCAAGAUAUUAGUAGUUCUUUUGUAUCUCGCCAUGAAUUCAGGACAUGCAGAUAUCCAUAAUUCUUUCAAGGAUGGAAAUUCAAGAAUAUCAAGAUCUCCAGUGCAGAAGCUUGUGAUCUUUUCAAGAUCAGACAUCUCCAGAUAUUGCAACUGAGGAAACAUUACAAUAUUAUUCUUCCUUUCUUCUUGGUUGUCCACGACUAUUAACUCUUCCAGGACAGGACAUUUACUUAUCUCAAUGCUUUGGAGUCGAACAAAGCUACUAACAGUAGAAGAUGAAAAUAGACAUCUUAAAUUCAUACAUCCGUGCAGGAUCAAGCGUGUUAAAUUCUGAUUACCACAAGACAUGACUGUAACUUGGCUCGGCCAAAUCCUCUCAACAUUUAUUGACACCAACUCCAACUUCUCUAACUCUGGUAAUGCAACCUGCACGAUCAAAAAAUUAACUUGUUAAUUACAAGCAACAAUGAUUUCUGUUGAUGGACAAAUCAAUAAAAUUACUCUUUCUCUGGUUAUAGUUCUUUUCAGUUUUUCAUACAAACAACCGUUAAUCAAGUUUUCCAAAUUAUUCCUUACUAAAUGUAUAGAUUUAGACGGCGGCUAAUAUAAUUCAUAUUGCAAAUAUUUUUUGAUUGUAACGAAUUUUGUAAUAUUAAAUUUUGGUUGAUUAACAAUAGGACCUAGUGUCCAGCGCGAGCAGUUCUCGGGAUUUAACUACUGGCACCUCGAUUAUAUAAAAAUUUGGAAUAUUUUCAAAGGAAAUCACAUAAUUGCCCCUUGCAAAUAGUAAUUAUCAUUAAUUGCCGCGGGUUCACAUAUAAUUCUAAGAAAUUAGGCGAGAAGAGUCUCAUCAACAAUCAAUCAGCAGAUAUCACGUUUGGCAGAUCAUCAUGAUUUCCUCAGAUGCUAGAGAAUCAACGUGAUUUCCGCUCAUGCAGGAGUGGACACAUUAUCUUAGAGCAUCCCUCACUGAGAUCUUUUAAAAAAUUUAUAUUAUAAAGUGAACAACAUAUUUAGUAUAGAUUUAGACGGCGGCUAAUAUAAUUUAUAUGUGUUCUAAUGAUGUAUAUUAAAGAAAAUGACUAACCAUAAUUUCAAUCAACUUAUUAGUCUAUAUAUAUAUAUAUAUAAUAUAUAUUCAGCGAUUACAACAUAUUUAGUAUUCCAUAACAUGAUGUUUAUAAUAAUAAUUAUUAUUAAUUCACUUAUUGUGUCAGAGUACCUUUUCUUUCUCUAAGAAUGUAUUUGUUACACCCCACUAUACUUCGGAUGAAAAAUUUAGAAUAAUUGUGAAAUAUAAUUAUUAAUCACUCUUUGCCAUAUUUGUUACCAAACAGGAAUAUAACAAAGAAAAAAAACAAAAAUUAUAGAGAAUUAAUAAGACGAUUGACUUAUUAAUAACUGACCUUCUCAGGGAAAAGCGUAUUAGAAAUUUGGACAUUGUCCUCCAAAAUGAUUUCAUGUGACUGCAAAUCAUUAGCUGAUUCCUCUUGUCUCUGUUGACAUUGCAGGUGUCUUGAUUUAAGAGUGUAAACUUAAUUGUGAACACAAUCUUAAUUAAUGCAUAGAUACAAGAUGUUUAAAAAUUAGUAUAAUAAACUUAGCACUAAAUCCAAAUUUGAUAUUUCGGAUUCCAUGAUUAAGAUUUUUUAAAUAAAAAUUUAAUAGAGUUAAUUUAAAAAUAAAAAUUAAAUAUGAAAAAUAAACUUGCAAUUAUGGAUUUAAUUUUGAUAAAUAAUGAAUGUUCUCUUUAUAUAUUUUUUUAAAAGGUAAAAGAGCGUACAAAACCCAAAUUCAUUUUUUUAGUCCCUUACUCUCCCAUGAUUCAAACUUCACUUUUUUUUUCUUUUUCUUUUUUUUCUUUUUUUGUUGAGAGAAAAGAGAAGAAGGAUAUUACAAAGCAUGAAGCUCGUGCAAUAUAAGGGCAAUUAUGGUUUUUUCUUUAAAUUAAAAUGGUAAGAUUCUGAAGCUAAAAGAUUAAAAUAUUAAUUAAAUUGCAAACAUUAAAGAUUUUUUUUCCAAAAUUGGUUGCUUUGAAAAUGAGAAUAAUAUAAUAUUUGAAGACUUUUUCAAAAUUAAUUACUGUGAUGCACUAGAAAUUUAUAGCUUUAGUCUAAUGUAUAAAUUGACAAAACGAUAUUAGAAUCCCAGGUGAAAAGAACCCUCUCAUACCAUUUUCUUAAAUUAGGAAUGAUCAUACCUCUGACUCUGCCGGACUGAGGGCGAGGCGUGAACCCCUCAUACGGAGACGCUUGAGAUGGGAAGAGCCUACUUUGACUAACUCGUUACGAAAAUAAUCGACAUCUUGCUCUUGCAAUCUACGUAAUUCAAGGUCUUCAAUUCUCUGCAGUUGCACGAUCAGCGAAUCCUUCAAGCGAAUCUUGUCAUUUAGCUCGAGUCUGAAUUCACGACACCAAAUGCCAGUGCUCU
rnacentral:lncRNA from 1 species